ACAGGGACAUGGUCCGAGCUCCUCGCCCAGUCGACACCAUGAUCCAACACCCUUUAUCUCUACUCACCCACCACCUACCAGUUCUCGGACUCAAAAUCCGUUGUCCGAAAGGGCGUGCGGGUUCGAAUCCCGCUCCCGGUA
rnacentral:tRNA from 1 species